UUACGAGUGAGCAAGAAUGGGAGAGCAGUUCAGGGUCACAUCACUGAGACUCGGGAUGAAGAAGAUGCAGAUAUGGAGGAACGCCAUCAGGUUCUAAUUCCUUCAGCUAUACGUUGUAUAUGUUGUUUAUAACUACUACCGGUACACUGAUCUGUGAUUUAAAGGGAAGUAAUGCUAGCUCUAUGUCUAUGUUGAUGAGGCAGACAGGUGCAGCAAGUCCCAGGUACACGGGUGAGAAGUCCCCAAUAACUUCCUCCAGCCAGACGACAAUGGCACAGAUCUUAAGCAAGUCUCAGAAGAAAAUUCAAGAAAGUACCUUCACCACUUUGGACCCAUGCAACCUCAGUCCCAGGAUAGUGGAUGGUACUGAAGACAGCGAGGAUAAGGAGAGUUUUCAUACAUUUUCCUUCUCUACCAGCCGAGGUUGUCCUGUCAACACAUCGACUCGUGCAACUGCAGAUACGCUGCACAUCAGCACAGUAGAGUUAGCAGCUAAAGCAGAGGAGACCAGAGGACAGCUGCACAACCUGGACCAGCAGGUGGGGACCCUGCGGAAAGAAGUAGCCGACCUUGGACAGGUCAUGAAGAGAAUGGCCCAACUCAUGGAGACCCUAAUUCCAUCAGUGCAGCCGCCUACAAUACUGUGUCCUGCACAUUAUUCUCCGGCACACCACGUGUGCCUGCAGCCUGCCACACAGACUCGGUCUUGCCCUUCACCAUCCCCCUCUAAAACUGCCUCCAUUUGGACAGACGCACCAAUGCCACUAACUUCUCCAUCCCUCGCGGCCGCACAGCAGCAUAGUGUGAUGUGCCACACAGACUUUUUAAUACAUAGACCACAGAGCCUCCAAGCUGCAUGUCCCGCCAUGCCCAGCUCAGCUUCACCUUUAACUCCUGACUCUUAUCAGCUCCAGCCGGCCUCUGUCAUCUCAGAGCUUCCUAUGCCUUCAUCGUCCUGCAGUUUGCAUGAUAUCCCAUGCUGCGAGGUUCAGGCUCCUACCUCUAUAAUGUCAAGUGUGGACAGUUCAUCUCCGCAGGACGGAGGACAAAGGGGGCUUUAUCACAGUUCUGGAUCCUCUCCUCAAACUGGACUUGGAUUGGUUCAUCGCUGCCCAAACCAGGGUUUGUAGCAGACCUUUAAAAAAGUUUCCGAAGGACAUUUCCAAUCAAAUUUUUGGAAACACACUCAGCUCAGAACUUUAAUAUCACUGCAAGACAUGGCAGAGAUGCAAUGAACAUUUCUGGGGUUUUUUAAAGGCACGCUUUUCAAAAUGUAUUUGCAUGAAAGAGGGUUUAGGUGUUAGCUUUACCUUGUAGAGGCUUAGUUUUAAUAUAAGAAAAGAUUUGGGAGCAGUAUAUCAAGGCUCCUUCAGAGAAAGCACUCUGCCCUGAUGGAGAAUGAGACAGAAACUUUGAAAGAAAAAGUAGUUUUUGAGCACUCCUUCUUGCUUCCUUCCGACGCUCUUCUUCUCCUUCCUUUUACCCCUUCUUUCCUUGCUUAUCUAACCAGUGUCGGAUGCUCUGGACAGCGCGGAGCAGUGCACAACUUGUUAAAGUGGGUUCGCAAGUCAUUGUGAGGAGAGAAAUGGGGCGUACUGUGCUAUUUACUGCUGGACCUGCAGGGAGAAUGGGUAAAGGAUGGAGGAAGCUGCUGUGGAGGUGGCGGUGGGGCAUUUUAAGCCUUGGGCAUCGCAACCAUGCUGUCGUCUGUCAAGCUGAACACAGGGAUUCGUUUUCCCUCUCUGUCUCUGUUUUUUUGCAGUCGUUCUCCCCAUGCACCUCACAUUGGUUCUCCACUCUCUGUGCAUGCCUUUCGAGUAGUGCCUGUAGCCCCACAUUGACAUGCCGCAUGUCAGCCCGUGGAGAUUCAGCUUGCCAUUUACCUGUCUAUUUAAAGGAAACGUGGUUCAAUAUUUUAAUGGUUGAACUUGGCAUUUACAGAUGCCUACUUAUUGAAUGUGAGCUCCGUUUAAACAGUGCUACUAUUUUAGGCACACAGGAGUUUCCCCCCCUCUGAUGUAAAGUGGCCUGGAGCAAAUAUUACUGAUGCUAAAUUGGUCCACGUUGCAAGCUGUUACCCUGAUAAUCAUCCAGGGUUACGAUCUCCUGGAUCGAUUUUCUUAGCUGUUAAGAAUAAAGGCAAUAUUCCCACAUAAAAAGCACAAUAGGGAAAUAAAGACACUUUUAUAUUUCUAUGAAUGUAUCAAUACUAAAGAUGUAUUUUUAUUUUUUACCUCAAAGAAUGCAGUAGUGUGAUGUCGGCAAAAAUAUUGCAGCUGUAAAAGAAUUUAUGGCCGGCGUGUUAGGUGUUGGCAUUGAAUGCAGUCAAACCGUUUGUCCAGCAGAUCUACUCUUCUCUUUUGAAUUCCUGUAGAUUUGAGCCUUUUACUCUGCAAAUGGAAUGUACUGUAAUCAACCUUCUUUUCCCCUUUUUGAUAUUUAUUAGAUACAAAAAUUGAUAUGCUAAUAAACAAGAAAUAUGACUCUUCUGGUGGCUUCUUUAUUCAUCAUAGGUUGACAUAACCUUGUGUAUAUUUUUUUAUUUUUAUAUUAAAUCCACUUCUAAUAUUUCACACAUGUGCAAUGGAACUGGUUUCCUCAACAAAUUGGAGAAUAUUAUGACUAGAAAAAAACUAGAUUAGUUUCAGGAAGGGAGACAGAUAUGAACAAAUUUUGAAAAUUUGAUUUUUUUUUCUCGUUUUUGUCACAGGCUCAUUUUAUUUAAAAUUCUGUUUUUGCAAUUGAUGAAAAAAUCCUGAACGAAAAGACCCAAAAGGAUCAUUGCAUAAAGGUAAUAAUCCAGCCCUCGAGCAGCACUGAACACACUAUAUGAACUAUGAAACUGUUUUGUAAUCUGUUAACUAUUCAUUAUGUUAGGUUUAAUAGUCCACCAUCUGCUAUCUGACUGGGUCCUGUGUAGCAAUUAACCCUUGUGCUAUCCUAGGGGUCCAGAUGACCCCACCCUUACAUUGACGUGUUCUCCCUAACAUGACAAAGGUGGAUAAAGGUGGAAAGAUUUCAUGUAAUUCAUGGAUACCGGUGAAAAUCACAAAUCAUUGAAGAAAAAAGGUUCAGUGCACUGUCUAGUGGGUCUAGAUGACCCAACUCCCAAUGUUAACGUGCCUAGGAUAGCACAAGGGUUAAAGACCCAAUCCGAUGAAAUUUGUGUUUUGCGUGGUUUUAACAUGUUCUUGUGGCAUUUUUCUGAUGAAGGAGGACAUCCAGGAAGAAAAUUAAAGCUCAAAAUUGUAUUUCUGAGUGUUUCUCUAUUCCAGUCAUUCAAAUCAGGAGCAGAUGAAAAAAUGCAGUUUAAAAUAAGAUUGUAUUUGUUUUGUAGAAUACAUUUGGCAGACCUCAAGCUCCCUGCUCCACUCUAUUCUGAUCCAUCCACUAUUAGACCACUAGAUCCAUGUACUUCUUGGUUUUAACUGACAUCUGGCUCAAAUGGUAAAUGGCGUAUACUUAUAUGACCCGUUUCUACCUUCUUAGAAGGCCCAAAAUGCUUUACAGUCCCACUACCAUUCACCCAUGCACGCACACAUACAGUAUUCACACACUGUCAGGCGCCUUUGCAGCCUGACACUUAUUUUGCUCGCCAUUGUUGUUGCACCGGUAAUGUUAGAAUGGGGGUGUGAGGGCUGAAAGCUAGCAUGAAGUAGGGCUUGUAAACAGAUGGGUCACAGGAAGCGUGGUAGGGAUGUUUCUCACCAAAAGACCCGCCCACCACUCAAGGGGCAAAUUUUUAAUGAACUACUCUGCUGCUCUGCAGAAACUAUUUCCUCGAAAACAACACAGGUUUUUCUUUUAUUUUGGGUAAAAACUGCAUCAUAAUAAUUAAAAGACCAUUGGAAAUGCUUUAAAUAGAUCAAAACAUGAUCAAAGUGGGUCUUUAAAGGUAUUUAGAAAGAAAAAGACAACCAGGCUGAGGUUGCCUUGGCUCCGUUAGUAACAGG
ensembl:lncRNA